rnacentral:rRNA from 1 species
GACGAACGCUGGCGGCGUGCUUAACACAUGCAAGUCGAGCGGUAAGGCCCUUUCGGGGUACGACGAGCGGCGAAUGGUGAGUAACACGUGGGUGACCUGCCUUUAGUCUCUGGGAGUAAGCCUGGGAAACCGGGGUACCUAAUACCGGAUAUGACUCCGCGGCGCAUGUUGUGGGGUGGAAAGCCUUGUGCGGCUGGAGAUGGGCCCGCGGCCUAUCAGCUUGUUGGUGGGGUGAUGGCCUACCAAGGCGACGACGGGUAGCCGGCCUGAGAGGGCG